CCUACGGGUGGCAGCAGUGGGGAAUAUUGGACAAUGGGCGAAAGCCUGAUCCAGCCAUGCCGCGUGUGUGAAGAAGGCCUUCGGGUUGUAAAGCACUUUCAGUGGGGAAGAAAGCCUUGGGGCUAAUACCCUCGAGGAAGGACAUCACCCACAGAAGAAGCACCGGCUAACUCCGUGCCAGCAGCCGCGGUAAUACGGAGGGUGCGAGCGUUAAUCGGAAUUACUGGGCGUAAAGCGCGCGUAGGCGGUCUGAUAAGCCGGUUGUGAAAGCCCCGGGCUCAACCUGGGAACGGCAUCCGGAACUGUCAGGGUAGAGUGCAGGAGAGGAAGGUAGAAUUCCCGGUGUAGCGGUGAAGUGCGUAGAGAUCGGGAGGAAUACCAGUGGCGAAGGCGGCCUUCUGGACUGACACUGACGCUGAGGUGCGAAAGCGUGGGUAGCAAACAGGAUUAGAUCCCUAGUAGUC
rnacentral:rRNA from 1 species